GAUGAACGCUGGCGGCGUGCCUAAUACAUGCAAGUCGAGCGAACAGACGAGGAGCUUGCUCCUCUGACGUUAGCGGCGGACGGGUGAGUAACACGUGGAUAACCUACCUAUAAGACUGGGAUAACUUCGGGAAACCGGAGCUAAUACCGGAGAAUAUAUUGAACCGCAUGGUUCAAUAGUGAAAGACGGUUUUGCUGUCACUUAUAGAUGGAUCCGCGCGGCAUUAGCUAGUUGGUAAGGUAACGGCUUACCAAGGCAACGAUGCGUAGCCGACCUGAGAGGGUGAUCGGCCACACUGGAACUGAGACACGGUCCAGACUCCUACGGGAGGCAGCAGUAGGGAAUCUGCCGCAAUGGGCGAAAGCCUGACGGAGCAACGCCGCGUGAGUGAUGUAGGUCUUCGGAUCGUAAAACUCUGUUAUUAGGGAAGAACAAAUGUGUAAGUAACUAUGCACGUCUUGACGGUACCUAAUCAGAAAGCCACGGCUAACUACGUG
rnacentral:rRNA from 1 species